GGGCGGCUAGCUCAGUUGGUUAGAGCGCUACAUUGACAUUGUAGAGGUCACAAGUUCAACUCUUGUGCCGCCCA
rnacentral:tRNA from 1 species